CCGCUCUUUCUACGCCGUUUGGGCAGGUAAACAGCUAAAUUCUAACAAAAAAAAAGAAUCCUGACUUCAGAUAACAGUGGGAGCCUGAAGGAUGAAGCCAGGUGUACAUUAACUGCUGCUAAUAAUCGGUGACAUCCUUUUGUUAAAGAGCCAAAGGAAAACUUCAAUGAAAAGAUGAGCAUUUUUGACAAAAUAGAAAACCCACAGUCAACAUCUGCCCCAUGCCAGCCUGCCGAAGUUCCUAGAAUGGACAGUGAGUCCAGUGAGUUUGUAGACUAUGUCUACUGCUGCAGUGAAACUUAUUUGACAGAAGCCUCUGAGUCACAAUUGAGUGAAGAAGAUGCAUUGCUUGUAAAUUGGUCAUUAGAUACAGAACUAGACAGGUACAGGAAAGAAAACAUAUCUAGUGAUGUUGUGGAAAACAAAAGUGUCAAGUCUGAUUAUUUGGAAAAGAGCUGCAACACUUCAGAUAAUGACUGCAAAGAAACGGAUGGCCAUAGAAAAAAAUCUGGCACAGGUGAAGACUCACAAUUAGAAUAUCACAGUGCCGAAGAACAAGAUUAUUCAGGCCAUUCUUCGCCUUCUGACAAAUUGAAAACAUUAGCUCCGAAUCCAGAAAUUAUGCAAAUUGAAAAGUCACAUGAUGAAACUAAAUUUACUGAAGACACAGAUGAAAAGAUGCACGCUACCAACUUGGAAACUUCAAGGAUUUCAGUCAGAAACAAUCAGUUGAUUGAAGAUGAUAGAGAGGUAACCGGCAGUACUACAAAUGAAUCAAACUUCGUGCGUAUAGAUCUGAAGUUCCCUUCAUCUUUGAAAUAUGCAGCACCUCACUUUUCGGUGAACCAGGAAGUUGAUGUCUGCUCAGAUUUUAGGGCAUGUUUUAUGACCAGCAGGGCUACAAGUGCAGGGCUGCCUGUUGUCUCUAGAUCAAGUAAUACAGUGAUAACAAUGAUGAAUAGAAAAUGGCCUGAGAUUCGCAAAAGUGUUGCUUGUAAUACAGAUUUGCCUUACGAGUAUAAGCCCAGAGAAGAUAUGGACUCAAAAAUGACUCUGACCAAAGCUCUGGAAAAACAUUUUGUGGAUGAUAUUGCAAAGGCUAAGGAAAAUCUUCUAAUCAAGGAUUCUCAGGAAUUGAAAGAAAAGUUGGAUGUUAAAGAAGAGGUAAUGAAAAAUUCUGAGAGGAUAAUUCAACAUUCAGAAGAAAUUGAAGAGAAUGUUCCAUCAGAGUGUUGUCAGAAUACUUUUCAGAGAGCUGUAAAUGCCGAAUUAAACCUUUUAAAAAUCUAUUAUUAUCUGUGUCGUCAGCAUUGUUGGAAAAUUUACGAAUGUGUAAAGGAGGAAAGGAAAUUUUGUGAUAGUGAUUUUGACAAAACAGAGCUAGACUUUGCAUUUCUGUCUGAUUCUGAAGAUCUGAAAGCUAAGUAUAUGAGAAUGAGAGAGAAAGUAAUCAGCGGUGUCCCAUUAGAUGAACUACCCCCAUUGUCUACAGAAUCAAAAUUGAAGCCCUUCUUUUCUUCUUUUGUUCCUUCAAAGUUAUUGAAAGAAGAAUCCCAUAUCUUUACAGGGGAAAAGUCAAACCUAGAUUUUCAAGGUGGUAAUAAUGCUGAAAUUUCAACGGGCCUGAAAAGAACACCUUCUAAAAUGCCUUCUUUUCCUGAAAACUGUCCUUCCAAUUCAAAUUCUUCCCCUAAGGAUGUUGGAGUAGUUAAUCUGAAGAGGGACAUGAAGCUAUUUGACAACACAGUCUAUAUAAAAAGUCAAGAAAUACCAGAAGACUGGUUUGAUGCCAAAGAGAACCUUACAGUAGUUGACUUUUCAGAGGUCUGUGGGACUGAAGUGGAACAAGUCCAGCUGAGGGCAGCACAUACAACAGAAAUGACAACUCUCGAGUCCUCUGGAAGGGAGCCAAAGCAAAAGUAUUUCCUUCAUGUUGGUGGUCUAGGUCCUUCAGUAUCUCAGGCUGAUCUGAUGACUCAUUUCCAGAAAUAUCAAGCCUCUGAGGUUUUUAUUUACAAUUCUGGUAACAAUUACAGGUAUGCAACCCUUUCUUUUAAAAAAGCCAAAGAUGCAAAGAUGGCUGUGCAAGAAAUGAAUGGGAAAACAAUAAACGGGAAAUCAGUCAAUGUUUGCUUUGCAAAAACUUCAAAAGAAAAUGCAUCACCACUUGUCCACAAACUCCCAAAGAAAAAUAUUAACACUAGAAUGCCCAGCCAGGAAACAACAUCUGCUUUCAAAGAGUCCAGUUCUAUGCUAGAACCACUUGGAUCUGGACCAGAACAAAAAAAAAACUUUUUCCCAGUUAACCAGAAGGUUGCUGGAAAGUACCUAAAGCCGGUAAAGUCUCAGGUUUUCCCUUUAACGACUGGUAUGUUCAUGCCUCCGAACAAUUUGAACUUGAGUAGCUUUACGAAACUGAUUAAGAAACUGGAAGAGCUACAUCCAAAUUCUAGUAGAGACAGUAUUAUAAAUGCUCUGCAGGAGGUGAGAACAAAAAAUGGUUUUCUGAAUGGCUUACCUAUUAACACUAUUGUGGAAAUGACUUCUUUGGUUUUGAAAGACAGAGCAUCCAAGCAUGAAUGAAUUAAAGGAGUAAAACCAGGAAAUUGAAAUUGACUGGAUUUGUGUGAGGAAAAUCGGAUCAAGAAAAAAGAGGCUUGAUUCUCAAAGAAGUUGACAUCUUCACUCAAGUGGAAGUUGAAUUAGGUUGAUGUUUCCUGCUUUUGCCUGUUGUCAUAAACAGCAUGCAUGCAUACUUUAUAUGGACAAAUGUCCACUGGUAGAAUCAGCAUUCAACAGUUACUGUUUGAAGGGUAAUAGUAAGAUUUAAUAUAGCUAAGAUGGAAAGUAAUCCAAAAUGUUUAACAAAUGAUUUGUGGUUUAGAACAUUUUGGAUUAAUGAUACUAAUUCUAAUAGGUGUAAGCAUUCAAGGUGAGUAUGCUCAGCAGGAUGUAAUCCAACUUUUACAAAAAGGAAGCUGGGAGAGAGCCACUCCUUGCAGGCAAAGCAGUUUUGGAAGAACACUAAUGAUUUCAGCCCUCUCUGGAACUAUUAGGUAAAGAGUGCUGUGGUUCAUUUAAUAGUGUGAAAUAAUACUUGCAGCUACAGAAAUUUGGCCCUUUGCCUGAUCCUGCGAGCAAAUGUAGCAGUCUUGCAAAUUGUAAACUGUUCAAUUUCCUCUUUUUGACAUGAAGUAAUGUCAUAAGCCCUGAGAAAUUUGCUUUAUUUUCUUUGAUAAUUGUUGACUGUUCACUUUGAAAUAAAAACUGAGUUGUU